rnacentral:rRNA from 1 species
UACGAAGGGGGCUAGCGUUGCUCGGAAUUACUGGGCGUAAAGCGCGUGUAGGCGGGUCUUUAAGUCAGGGGUGAAAUGCCAAGGCUCAACCUUGGAACUGCCUUUGAUACUGGAGAUCUUGAGUCCGGGAGAGGUGAGUGGAACUGCGAGUGUAGAGGUGAAAUUCGUAGAUAUUCGCAAGAACACCAGUGGCGAAGGCGGCUCACUGGCCCGGAACUGACGCUGAGACGCGAAAGCGUGGGGAGCGAACAGG